rnacentral:rRNA from 1 species
UACGGAGGGGGCAAGCGUUGUUCGGAAUUACUGGGCGUAAAGGGCUCGUAGGCGGCCAACUAAGUCGGACGUGAAAUCCCCAGGCUCAACCUGGGAACUGCGUCCGAUACUGGAUGGCUUGAAUUCGGGAGAGGGAUGCAGAAUUCCAGGUGUAGCGGUGAAAUGCGUAGAUAUCUGGAGGAAUACCGGUGGCGAAGGCGGCAUCCUGGACCGACAUUGACGCUGAGGAGCGAAAGCCAGGGGAGCAAACGGG